UUAAGGUAAAGGAUUUGCUUAAGCACAGAAGCACGUUGAAAUCUGAUGCUGAUGCGGUUACGGUGCUGGAUGGAACACAGGAAGGUGCUUUUCAAUGGGAAUUGAAGGAAAUGGGAGAAAAGGAUUAUGAAGCUUAUAAAAGAUAGCUCAUGUUUUAUAUUAAUUGUGCUAGGUUGGUUGUGUUUGUGUUGGUGCUAUUAAAUUGAAACUGGUUGUAUUAAUUUUGAGCAAACAUUUAUAUGCUCAAAAAAUCUAAAUUUUAUAUGGUGCUUAGAUGUGUUUGAAUUUGGUUGUUUUAUGUUUCAACCGGUUGUAUUAAGUUUAAAUUUGGUUCAGUUUUAAAGACUGUUAUGUCA